rnacentral:rRNA from 1 species
GACGAACGCUGGCGGCGUGCUUAACACAUGCAAGUCGAACGGAAAGGCCCUGCUUGCAGGGUCCUCGAAUGUCGAACGGGUGUGUAACACGUGGGUGAACUGCCCCGUACGUCGGCUUACGUAUGGAAAACGGGGACUAAUAGCGGAGAUGAACCAUCCCUCGUGAGGGGGCUGGAAAGCUUUUUCGGUGGAGGAUGAGUUCGCGGCCUAUCGGCUGGUUGGUGGGGUAAUGGCCUACCAAGGCGGCGACGGGUAGCCGGCCGGAGAGGGGGUAGGGCCAAAUGGGGAAUGGGAAACGGGCCAGAGUCCUAAGUGAGGCAGGAGGGGGGAAUAUUGCACAAUGGGCGAAAGCCUGAUGCAGCGAGGCCGCGUGGGGGAUGAAGGCAUUAGGGUUGUAAACUCCUUUCGCUAGGGAGGAAGCUUUGUUGUGACGGUACCUAGAGAAGAAGCACCGGCUAACUACGUG